AUUGAACGCUGGCGGAAUGCUUUACACAUGCAAGUCGAGCGGCAGCACGGGGGCAACCCUGGUGGCGAGCGGCGAACGGGUGAGUAAUACGUCGGAACAUGCCCAGUCGUGGGGGGAUAACACUUCGAAAGAAGUGCUAAUACCGCAUACGUCCUGAGGGAGAAAGCGGGGGAUCGCAAGACCUCGCGCGAUUGGAGUGACCGAUGUCCGAUUAGCUAGUUGGCGGGGUAAAGGCCCACCAAGGCGACGAUCGGUAGCUGGUCUGAGAGGACGACCAGCCACACUGGAACUGAGACACGGUCCAGACUCCUACGGGAGGCAGCAGUGGGGAAUAUUGCGCAAUGGGCGAAAGCCUGACGCAGCCACGCCGCGUGAGUGAUGAAGGCCUUCGGGUCGUAAAACUCUGUCGGGAGGGACGAAGGGGCAACCCGUGACGGUACCUCGCAAGAAAGCACCGGC
rnacentral:rRNA from 1 species